AUGCCGCUCCACGAGCAAGGAGCGCCGCGAGGAGAGCGAGAGAACGAAGUGGGCUCCCCACACUUCUUUAUUUCUCCGUGCCCCUUCCGCAUGCGCUUCGCGCGCCAUUGGCGCUUUGAUCUCCUCUUAUUUCUUCAUUGGAGGGUUCGGAUGGACUUCGCCGUUCUUUCCCAACGAAAAUGGAAAGGGUUGUAUCACAUCGAGAUGUCGAUUCGUUUUCCGCCCCAAAUGAGAUGGGGAAUUAGUCACAUCUGUCCCUUCAUCUUUUUGAAAGGAAUCGAGGCCCGGCCCGGCUCGCGUCGUUCCAACAACCGACGGGGAGCACCUUAGUAUAUGAUCGCGCACAGUAACUGGGAGUACUAUUACACCUAA
rnacentral:rRNA from 1 species